rnacentral:pre_miRNA from 1 species
GGGGGGAUGUCGGAUCCUGGGCUGUGUCCCGGCGCCCUGUGCUCCCGGGCCUGCGCUGUAGAUUUCACGCUCCCGCCCCGCAGCUUCUC